GUAGGGGGCAAGCGUUGUCCGGAAUUAUUGGGCGUAAAGCGCGCGCAGGCGGUCUCUUAAGUCUGAUGUGAAAGCCCACGGGCUCAACCGUGGAGGGUCAUUGGAAACUGGGAGACUUGAGUGUAGGAGAGGAAAGUGGAAUUCCACGUGUAGCGGUGAAAUGCGUAGAUAUGUGGAGGAACACCAGUGGCGAAGGCGACUUUCUGGCCUACAACUGACGCUGAGGCGCGAAAGCGUGGGGAGCAAACAGGAUUAGAUACCCUGGUAGUCCACGCUGUAAACGAUGAGUGCUAGGUGUUAGGGGUUUCGAUGCCCUUAGUGCCGAAGUUAACACAUUAAGCACUCCGCCUGGGGAGUACGGCCGCAAGGCUG
rnacentral:rRNA from 1 species